UGGGCGUAAAGAGCUUGUAGGCGGUUUGUCGCGUCUGCUGUGAAAGGCCGGGGCUUAACCCCGUGUAUUGCAGUGGGUACGGGCAGACUAGAGUGCAGUAGGGGAGACUGGAAUUCCUGGUGUAGCGGUGGAAUGCGCAGAUAUCAGGAGGAACACCGAUGGCGAAGGCAGGUCUCUGGGCUGUAACUGACGCUGAGAAGCGAAAGCAUGGGGAGCGAACAGGAUUAGAUACCCUGGUAGUCCAUGCCGUAAACGUUGGGCACUAGGUGUGGGGAACAUUCCACGUUUUCCGCGCCGUAGCUAACGCAUUAAGUGCCCCGCCUGGGGAGUACGGCCGCAAGGCUAAAACUCAAAGAAAUUGACGGGGGCCCGCACAAGCGGCGGAGCAUGCGGAUUAAUUCGAUGCAACGCGAAGAACCUUACCAAGGCU
rnacentral:rRNA from 1 species